GAUGCACUUUCUAAUCCGUUAGACAUUGAUAUUAUGAUUCUAAUGUCUACAACUAAGUUGAAUCACCAUAAUCAUGAAUUAACACUUUACCUGGAUAUCGUGAUUCAAAGUGUGAGUUGUUUUCCAACUUCUUCGAAAUCUUGAAUUCUUCGAUCUUCGACAAUACGCACCGAUUCUUCAAGACUCCGACUCACUUCACGAAACUUGCCAACACUCAAGACUUAACAAUCUCCCCCUUUGGCAAUUUCGUGACAAAACUCACACAAACUCAAAAAUUACAAUUUAAAGAAAAAACGAAGUUCAAUUGUCAUCACCAAAACAUUGAACUCCUCGCGUGUAAUCCAAGUACAAUUUGAAACUUAAACUUACAUCAAAAACUCCUAAAACAGACUCUAUGACUUAGACGCAAUAAGGAGUCUUGAAGUCUUGAUUUCCUGCAAAACAAUUUAUCCAAAAAGAUAUAGAAAGUUAAAUUUACACUUCUCCCCUUUGUUCUUUAUUCCUUCUUCUUUGACAUCCUUACAAUUUACACUUCUCCCCUUUGUUCUUUAUUCCUUCUUCUUUGACAUCCUUACAAUUUACACUUCUCCCCUUUGUUCUUUAUUCCUUCUUCUUCUCGAAAUAUCACUCCUUGUCUCCCUUUGUUCACCUUUGCUUUAGAUCAAUACCUGUUCAUCAUUGUUCCCCCCCUUUUUGUCAAAAAUUGCGAAAGAUAAAAUAUAUAAAGAGAGAAAACAUACUAAAAGCAUAAGAGUAGUCAAAUCAUAGUUACAGGCCUAAAACAAAAGUAAAAACAUGCAAAUGAAAGAUAAGCAAGCAAAGCUAAAACAUCGU
rnacentral:lncRNA from 1 species